GCUCCCCUCGUGCCAAGCCAAAGGCUUCCUUCUUAUUGUUCUCCAGCUUCCUCUCUUUCUCUCCCUCGAGGCCUCUGAGUGUGUCUCCAUGGCUGUGGUUUGGAGUCAAAAGUUCUGUGUCUGAGUCCCAGCCCCCCACCUUAGGUGCUCUGGGACUGUGGCCAUGUCACUCCACCUCAUUGAGCCUCAGUGUCCUGCUCCAUAAAAUGAAGAGAAUAAAGAUAAAAUGUGAGCAAGCUGUGUAAACUGGAAAGCAGUGUGCCAACACUAUUGUUCUUUUUAUUAUCAUUAGUAGGGUAAGUCUUUUAGAUCAAAAACCAUCCAGGACCUUCCUUUUGAAACCUCCUAAUAGCAAUGGAGAAGUGGGCAGUGGAAUUUUCCUACCAGCUUCUAACAUCCCUGAAGCACAGCCCUACAGAUAUAUCACCUAUUGACGCUUGAAAUGCCAUCAUUCCCAUUUCAACCCAUUGGAUUAAGUUUUGCCCUCUCCUCUGGUCCUCCAUAAAAAGGUAAACAUACCCCAGAGGGAGGGACUGUUAAGUCACUAGUAUCUGGGCGUGUAGGAGUGGUAAGCCAUUCUGCCUUGUCUGAAGGACUGGCAUUGAGAGCACACAGCGGAAGGAAGGACCAAGAAAGGGCACAGAAAGAGAACGCCAGGGAGAGGCCAAUGACAAACUUGACCCUCCUUGUUUUGCCUAGAACGAACCGUUCUCUUUUAGCUCCUGGAAAUGAAAGCACCUCGGAACCAGCUAGGAGCCCUCUGCCUUGGAGCCCAUAAAGGUAUCCCCGUUUUACAGCUUAGGAAAGAAAGCUAGACCUUGGGAUAUGCUAUGACUUGCCCAAGAUUUAAUAGAUAGCUGAGAGUGGGGCUGUGUCAGGCUCGUAAAGUCAUUUACUUGCAAGGACACUCUGCUGUCCAGCCAGGUCACAAGACAUCUCAUUUCUACCCCAGAGAUAUGCCCAGACCUUAAAAGCAGUAGCCUGCUGCGUAAAAUGUGACCUGCUCUGCCAUGACUACCAGAGGAAAAGUGACAAUCUGAGUUGACAGAUCUGUCUCCUGAUAUGCAUAACACCAGUCAGACCGUGUGGAUUUUCCUCUCAAUUGACUAACUUUGUUUUUUCUUGCUGAAGUGGACCUGCCUUUCACUGAAUGACCUCAAGGCAGAGCCUUGGCUGUUUUCUUUAAGCACUUAUUUUUCCAUUGGGAAACGGCUGGUGAGUUCACAUCUAGGGAAGCUCACCCCCCACUCAUCCAGCCCCAAAUCUGAGCCUUGACGCAGAACCAAAUGGAAAAAUCCUUUCCUGUGCCCCUCCCCCCAUUUCCUCAUCUGGCUCUCUGCAUGUCACCCUCCACAAGCACCGGGUCCCAUCCAUAGUCUCUGAGCAUUGGCAUCCUCUUCCUGACUCCUGCCUGUGUUAGUCCACUAUAUAUUGCUGUAUUUGCUUAAAUGCUGGAAAGUAACUGUUAAAAUGUGAAACUGUAAUUUUUAAAAAGGCUACAGUUAAAUUUUAGCCAAUGCCACUCACCAAAUCUUUGCACCUAGUAGAUAGAUCAAUGUAAAAAACAAAUACCAGAAACCUAACUGUACAGUGAGUGUGGGGGAAAUGUAGUAACCUAGUUAGUAGUCCUCAAUAUAACCAAUUGUACAAGGGGCAGUGGUGUUUACCUACUUGUCCAUCACCAUUACUGAAAGCUGUACUGAUCAGUUCGUUGAUAACGGGCAUUUUUUUUUUUUUUUUUUACUUCACAGAAUGAGUUCUUUUCUUAACCUUCAACUUACCCUGAGGUCAAGCCUUUUGUCUUUAUGUGUAACCGAUGUUCAGUCUAUUUUUAGGAAUGAACCAGCAAGAUGUUCGUUUAAAACUGACCAAAGACAAUUCAUUCCUGGUCUAGUUUCCUGGGCCUCGGGGCCCAGCUGCCGCUAAAGACCUUUCUGGGAUAAAAUUGAGAACAAGCUGUGCUUCCUACCCCACGCCCCCGUCCCCCUUUAUUCCCUGUUCCUCUUAAAGAGCUGCUCUGAGCUGUGGGAUUCUAUGAAAAAUUCUUGCCUUUCCUUGUUUUCAGUGCUAACGAUUUCUCACCUUGAAGCGCCUUUUGAACCCCAGACAGAGCGCAUAACUGGAGGGAAUUGUAAGCUUGGGAAGUAGACUUGGGAGUGUUUUCUCUGAGGUCACCAGGCCAAGGGGCAGGAGAGAAAUGGAUUCCCAAGGGACGAAAGGUUUCUAUUCAACAAAGAAAUCUGAGUGGGAAGAGACACAGGGAAAUGGAGCCAUCCUUUGGCCACGGCUGGAACCAGCAGUUCAGAGAUCUGCCUUAUAAACACUUCAGAACUGGUUUGUGGUACGCGGAGGGGAGCCAGUGUGGGGAAGGGCCUUUGCGUGGGGCUUCCUUCCCUGUUGGAGGCCCUUGGAGUGCCUUGUUGGGUAUCUUUCUUUCUCAUUCAGGAGGCAUGAAUGCGGAGGACUUCCUAUGACCUGGUGGUUACCUGGCGCCCAGCGCACGUACACGGCUGGUGGAAAACCACAAGGACUAAUGUAAUGGUUCUUCCUCUCAGUCUUUCUGUUCUUAACUUUCCACACAUCCAGAUGGUUCCACACCAGAGCAAAUGCCUCAUUCUCCCGAGAAAGCCAGAAAGAAGAAUGGCUGGCUCCCAACCACGGUGGGGGCCCUGUGGGGCUUGUGGGGACGGGCAGGGAGGAAAAGGCAGGAAGGGGUGAGCCGAGGUGUUGCUUAGCCGAUUUUCUGCUGUGCAGAGCUAAUGCUGACGUUUCAUGUCAACUUCCCCGGUUCUCUGGGGACUCCUCUCUUCUGAGCAGCCAUGUAGAGAAUUCCCCACGUACCCAGAGCUGCCCAGGGGAGUGGAGAGAAGGACUUUGCUGUCAGGUCGGAGUCCUCCUGGCCUCUCUGAGGUUGAUCUGCCAGUGUCCUGCUGUCCCACCCUCUGGGACUGGCCGAAUGGCCAGCGCUGCCCCUUGCUGACACCUCCUUUCUGUGUGAACUGUCCCAGGCAAAUAACAAAGCUGUUCCUUGAACCAGUACAACCAGAGUGCACUUUGCCUUCCUUAGACGGAAGUAGAUUCUGGCUAGAGUUUCCGCUCAGGCUCUAGUCCCCGGCGGUGUGGCUGUUUACACGGUUUGGCAUUAGGUUCGGUUCUGAUUGCUUCAGAGUGGCUGGUCUCUUUCGUUUCCUUCGGUUUCCUUCCUCCCCAAACUGUGUCAGGAAAAAACAAACUGAAACCACCCUAGGAAAUUGCUGGUUGCCUGUCCCCCCGUGAUGAUCAGUGUUGCCCUCUCCCAGAUCCUGUUUCUCCACCCAACGCCCGUCCUCUAGAGUGUCUGACUGGAUCCUCUGUCGCG
ensembl:lncRNA